AUGACUGACCAGGACCAAGCAAUGGCAACAGCUAUAGAGCAGGUCCUCCCAAAUACUUGCCAUAGGUGUUGCAAGUUUCAUGUGUUUAGCAACACGCGUUCUAAGUUGGGGAGGCUGCUGAGCAGAGAUGAGGCGUUUGCAGAUGUGUUUUACACUUGUAUCAAUAAAUCAAAAACGGUUGAAGAAUUUGAGGAAACAUGGCAGCACAUGUUGCAUUGUUUCGAAGUUGCUGAAAACAAACACUUGAAGAACAUGUGGCGAACAAGACAUAUGUGGGCUCCAGCGUACUUCAAGAACAAUUUCUUCCCGUUCACAAGCACGAUAGGCAGGUCCGAGGGGAUCAACAUAUAUUUCAAGACAAUGAUUCGUCCAACUGAUUCUGUAUGGAGGUUUGUGCAACAGUAUGAACUGUGCCAGGAAAUUGUGCUUGAUCGUGAGGACAAUGCUGGCUUCACUGGUGAAACGACUGCUCCACCACUAUACUCUCGAUACAACAUUGAGCGCCAAGCUGCUGACACUGAGUACCAAGGGCAAGGCCUCCUGUUCAAUCUAACAUCAAGCUUAUAUGAGAACCCAAAGCUCUUUUCUAUGCGUGUUAUGAUGGAUGAAGGGGUAUUUCAAUGUAGUUGCCACUACUUUGAGAUGAAUGGUCUGGUUUGUGCCCACAUAAUAAGGGUGAUGGUGCACCUCAAUGUGCAAGUUAUUCCACAACAAUACUUGUUGGAAAGGUGGUAUGAAGCAGCAACAACAAGCAUGGCCAGAACUGGGCGAUUGCUGGAAUUUGGGCACCCCUCGACAAACACGCUCAAACACAACUCCUUGUGCCGAAGGUUGACAUGGCUCACCUCUGAUGCAUGUUGCAAUGAUGAUGCAUACAAGAUAUUAGAUGAAGCAAUAAAAGUUCUUGAGCCUGCCAUAGCAGUGGCGAAAAGAGGAGGACUACUAGAACAACAAGCAACCCUCAAAGCUCAGAAAUGCUACAAAACACAUCUCGUGUCCCUAAGAAAGGCCGGCCAACUGAAAGAGAAAAGAGGAAGAAGACUCUGGUGGAGCAGCGAGAUGAGAAGCAGAAGAAGAAGUCGAAACAAGAAGAGAAGAAGCCAAUGGCAGCAGUGA
rnacentral:rRNA from 1 species